CCUCCCCUGACAGCAGUAACCAUCUUAUCAGCAAUUAAAAGCUCAGAAGUGGGUUGGACCAAAACUUGACCUUUCAUCACAAGUACAGGGUCAUGACAAGGUGAACGAGUGUAAGCAUCUUCUGACAGGUGGCUGGUUUCAUCAGGUCUGUGACAGCCUUGUGUUGUCGGACAACCAGAUAACCACGGUGGGAUCCAGACAGGAGGAGUCUGAACGUAAACACCUUCUGAUAGUGUCUGAAGGUCACAACACUCAAAAAAGGUUAACACACACACAGAGAGGUCCUGAAGAGGAGACCUUACAGUUUAUCAUAACAUAAUGUAUUAACCCUUUAAAGGGUAUAAGGCCUUGGUUUAACCCUCUUCACCACCUGUGGAUCUGUGGACUGCUGAAGAGUGUUGACCAGCUGCCCCCCCGUGGCCUGGCCCAUAACAAGGAUCAUAGGAGAGCUUCUGCAUCCUUCAAAAGAGGGGUGACCUUCAGAGAAAGUCAGUUCCGAAAGAGUUUGUAAGUCACUUGAAGAAUUACCUGGGAGAUAAUGUCCUGAUGGUUUAACUGAGCACCACGACCUGCUUCGAGAAGGUCUUGGAGGCAGCUCGUCACCUUGGUCCCGAUUUCAGUGAGGGCUCUUUGGACGAUGUCCCUUGUGCUGUCUCUUCCUGCUGCCAUGUCCACCAGGCUCUCCACGACCUCCCUGACUUCCUGUGGAAUGUAUUUCUCUCUUUUCCAUGUGAUCUCUAAAUGCUCCUCUUAUGACUAUUGAUAGAGGUUAA